GAUGAAGAACGCAGCGAAAUGCGAUAAGUAAUGUGAAUUGCAGAGUUCAGUGAAUCAUCGAAUCUUUGAACGCACAUGGCGCCUUCCAGUAUCCUGGGAGGCAUGCCUGUCCGAGCGUCGUUUCAACCCUCGAGCCCCCGUGGCCCGGCGUUGGGGAUCUGCCACGGCAGGCCCCUAAAACCAGUGGCGGACCCGAAGGCCCUCUCCUUUGCGCAGUAGCAUCAGCCUCGCAUUGGGAUCCCUCGGCGUCCUGCCUCUAAACCCCCCACAAGUCCGCUCCGGCGGCACCAAGGUUGACCUCGGAUCAGGUAGGAAUACCCGCUGAACUUAAGCAUAUCAAUAAGCGGAGGA
rnacentral:misc_RNA from 1 species